UACGAAGGGGGCUAGCGUUGUUCGGAUUUACUGGGCGUAAAGCGCACGUAGGCGGAUCGUUAAGUCAGGGGUGAAAUCCUGGAGCUCAACUCCAGAACUGCCUUUGAUACUGGCGAUCUUGAGUCCGGAAGAGGUGGGUGGAACUCCUAGUGUAGAGGUGGAAUUCGUAGAUAUUAGGAAGAACACCAGUGGCGAAGGCGGCUCACUGGUCCGGUACCGACGCUGAGGUGCGAAAGCGUGGGGAGCAAACAGG
rnacentral:rRNA from 1 species